rnacentral:rRNA from 1 species
UACAGGGGGCUCGAGCGUUAGUCGGAAUCACUGGGCUUAAAGGGUGCGUAGGCGGCUCGCCAAGUGCUUUGUGAAAUCCCACAGCUCAACUGUGGAACAGCAGGGCAAACUGGCGAGCUUGAGGCAGGUAGGGGCCGGAAGAACAGUUGGUGGAGCGGUGAAAUGCGUAGAUAUCGUUUGGAACGCCAAUGGUGAAAACAGCUCGCUGGGGAUGUGCCGACGCUGAGAUACGAAAGCCAGGGGAGCGAACGGG